rnacentral:rRNA from 1 species
GUCUACAGCCAUACCACCCUGAACAAGCCCGAUGUCUGAUCUCGGAAGCGAAGCAAGGUCGGGCCUGGUUAGUACUUGGGUGGGAGACCACCUAGGAAGACCAGGUGCUGUAGGCA